rnacentral:lncRNA from 1 species
AGGACAUUCAGGCUGUAUCCUCCCUCUCGCUCAAGUGCUCCCAGGUCCUCCGUGUGGAUCACACGGUCUCCUCAGAGCACUCUGUUCUUAAGCUGGCCUGGGCUUUGUAGACUUGUCCUUGUGAACCCCCAACAGCUUUUGCUGACCCACCUUCCAAUGUGCUCUCUCUCUCUCUCUCUCUCUCUCUCUCUCUCUCUCUCUCUCUCCCUUUUAAUAACACCUAUCUCCUCAGACAAGCAGGUCCAUCAAUCAUCAGGAUAGCAAGUUCCCUGAAACGUAACAAUAAAUAAAACUGGCUCAAUUGGAGC